rfam:Cardiobacterium valvarum F0432 genomic scaffold Scfld276, whole genome shotgun sequence.
GUCCCCAUCGUCUAGAGGCCUAGGACAUCGCCCUUUCACGGCGGUAACAGGGGUUCGAAUCCCCUUGGGGAUG